CAGUAGCCACGGGAAUACGUAGGGUGCAAGCGUUAAUCGGAAUUACUGGGCGUAAAGCGUGCGCAAGCGGUUUGUUAAGACAGAUGUGAAAUCCCCGGGCUCAACCUGGGAACUGCAUUUGUGACUGGCAAGCUAGAGUGUGGCAGAGGGGGGUGGAAUUCCGCGUGUAGCAGUGAAAUGCGUAGAUAUGCGGAGGAACACCGAUGGCGAAGGCAGCCCCCUGGGCCAACACUGACGCUCAUGCACGAAAGCGUGGGGAGCAAACAGGAUUAGAUACCCCCGUAGUCCCUGUCUCUUAUAC
rnacentral:rRNA from 1 species